GUGGGGAAUCUUCCGCAAUGGGCGAAAGCCUGACGGAGCAACGCCGCGUGAACGAGGAAGGUCUUCGGAUCGUAAAGUUCUGUUGCAGGGGACGAACGGCACUAUAGCCAAUAAGUAUAGUGAAUGACGGUACCCUGUUAGAAAGCCACGGCUAACUACGUGCCAGCAGCCGCGGUAAUACGUAGGCGGCAAGCGUUGUCCGGAAUCACUGGGCGUAAAGGGAGCGCAGGCGGAACAUUAAGCGGAUCUUAAAAGUGCGGGGCUCAACCCCGUGAUGGGGUACGAACUGAGGUUCUUGAGUGCAGGAGAGGAAAGCGGAAUUCCCAGUGUAGCGGUGAAAUGCGUAGAUAUUGGGAAGAACACCAGUGGCGAAGGCGGCUUUCUGGACUGUAACUGACGCUGAGGCUCGAAAGCCAGGGUAGCGAACGGGAUUAGAAACCCGGGUAGUCC
rnacentral:rRNA from 1 species